AACGAACGCUGGCGGCAGGCCUAACACAUGCAAGUCGAGCGAGGACUUCGGUCCUAGCGGCGGACGGGUGAGUAACGCGUGGGAACGUGCCCUUUGCUUCGGAAUAGCCCUGGGAAACUGGGAGUAAUACCGGAUGAGCCCUUUGGGGGAAAGAUUUAUCGGCGAAGGAUCGGCCCGCGUUGGAUUAGGUAGUUGGUGGGGUAAUGGCCUACCAAGCCGACGAUCCAUAGCUGGUUUGAGAGGAUGAUCAGCCACACUGGGACUGAGACACGGCCCAGACUCCUACGGGAGGCAGCAGUGGGGAAUCUUAGACAAUGGGGGAAACCCUGAGCUAGCCAUGCCGCGUGAGCGAUGAAGGCCUUAGGGUUGUAAAGCUCUUUCAGCUGGGAAGAUAAUGACGGUACCAGCAGAAGAAGCCCCGGCUAACUCCGUG
rnacentral:rRNA from 1 species